rnacentral:rRNA from 1 species
GGAAGGGCACCACCAGGUGUGGAGCCUGCGGCUUAAUUUGACUCAACACGGGAAACUCACCAGGUCCAGACACAAUAAGGAUUGACAGAUUGAUAGCUCUUUCUUGAUCUUGUGGUUGGUGGUGCAUGCCCGUUCUUAGUUGGUGGAGUGAUUUGUCUGGUUAAUUCCGAUAACGAACGAGACCUUAACCUGCUAAAUAGCCCCGGCUGGCUUUGGCUGGUCGCUGGCUUCUUAGAGGGACUAUCGGCGUUUAGCCGAUGGAAGUUUGAGGCAAUAACAGGUCUGUGAUGCCCUUAGAUGUUCUGGGCCGCACGCGCGCUACACUGACAAAGCCAGCGAGUUCAUCACCUUGGCUGGAAAGCCUGGGUAAUCUUGUGAAACUUUGUCGUGAUGGGGAUAGAGCAUUGCAAUUAUUGCUCUUCAACGAGGAAUACCUAGUAGGCGUGAGUCAUCAGCUCGCGUCGAUUACGUCCCUGCCCUUUGUACACACCGCCCGUCGCUACUACCGAUUGAGCGGCUUAGUGAGGUCUUCGGAUUAGCCUUCGGAAGCUGGAAACGGCAUCUGGAGGCCGAAAAGUUGAACGAACUUGGUCGCUUAGAGGAAGUAAAAGUCGUAACAAGGUUUCCGUAGGUGAACCUGCGGAAGGAUCAUUAGUGAAUCCGGGCAGAGAUGCCCUUCACAAUUUUCUAACACUUGUGCACUGUCUCAUAUAACGCUGUUGAAGUACAUGGAAUGUCACAUUAGUGAUAAUAAAAAUUACAACUUUCAGCAACGGAUCUCUAGGCUCUCGCAUCGAUGAAGAACGCAGCGAAAUGCGAUACGUAAUGUGAAUUGCAGAAUUGAGUGAAUCAUCGAAUCUUUGAACGCAUCUUGCGCUCCUUGGUAUUCCGAGGAGCAUGUCUGCUUGAGUGUCAUGAAAUUCUCGACCGCCCCGAGGGCUUUUCUUUGCUCCUGGGGGAUAAGGUACGGACUGUGGCCGUAGUGUCUCUCUCUCUCUCGCACGCGCGAGAUGUUGAGGGCUCGGCUUAAUGAGAUGAAGGCUGACCUAAUCAUUUUGGGGCCGGUUGACUCGAUAUUGUACAUCACACUUUGUCGGGGCGCUGUCUCUCAAGUGUCGGCCUCCCCUUGUGAUUCAAGGGGUACCAAAAUACCAUUGAUAUCUCGACCUCAAGUCAGGCAGGACUACCCGCUGAACUUAA